UGUUGUGCGCCGGAACUGAAACAAACUGGUGCUAAGAAGUCAAAGGGCUAGAGCCGUUGGCUAAUGGAAUGUAUAUCGCUAAGCAGGUCUUCAUAAGUAUUAACAGAUUUUAACCUAAUAUUUAACAAAAGAAAAUCGUUCCGGUUUUUUAUUGGUUGCGAUAUAAAGCCAUAACCGAGAUAAACAGCGCAGCAGUAACUGGCCGUUGUAGUGAUGUCGGGCAGUGACGUCAGUGGUCAGCUGCGAGCCAGAGAAGCUUGGGUUUCGGUUAUAUCUGACAUCAUGAAGGCUUUAUGAGAAGGGGAAAUCAUGAGCAAUUAGUGGAGUGCAUGUCGAUGCCGCAGGUGACAGAUAGAGAGGAUGAGGAGGAGAAGGUGUGUUCAGAGGAAGAGCAGAGUCACAACAGCAGUGACACUCCUCACUCCUCACAGCUCGGGUUAAACUUGAGGCAAUGUGUUAACACCCCAGAGAUGAGUCCUUCGCCUUCUGGCUUACUGGCUCUGCCAUGGGAGAUGGUUGCACGCAUAGCCUCUCACCUGCCCGCUCAGUGCAUUAUCAACGUUCUGCCUCAGGUGUGCAGGGCACUGGGACAGGUGGGUGAAGACAUGUCAGCCUGGCAGCUCCGGGCUCAGCGACUUACAGGACCCCGAAGUUCUUUCCCGGUUGGACCGAGGAAUCGUUUCGAUUGGCCCAGAGCAUGCCUUGAGAUGGAGCAGUUGAUUGAAUGCUGGACAAGGCAAGAAGGAAAAGCGGAGCCAGAGCGAGGGAUUGAGAUUCAGGAUGAAGCUGUUGCAGGAAGAGGAGCAGGAGAAGAAGGAGAAGCAGCCGCGAACGGAGAAGAGCUCGACGCCGACGCAGUGAGACAGCCUGGCCCUGCCGGGGAGGAAAUCAGGCCAGAAGAUGAGGGUCUUGAAAGACAUGGAGAAGGAGAAGAGCAGGAAAAUAAUAUAAUCAUCGUCAGAGAAGAGGAAAGAGAGGAUGCUGCCAUUCAGGACGAACACCUGGAGCAAGAAGACAGUGGGAUGAAUGUAAAGACAAGCCCCGCACCUGCCCUAGAGCACAUCACGCUCUCCUCAGGCCACAUUGCUGACGUUAACACAGUCUUGCUAGUUGGAGGUGAGGGCUCCGUGUGUGUCUCCGGUUCCAGAGACCGUAAUGUGAACCUGUGGGAUGUGAGAAGGGGCUCGAGCGAGGUGCUGCUGGGCAAACUGGGAGCUCGCGGCAGUUUCAACAGCACACACCAAGGCUGGGUGUGGUGCCUCGCAGCCAGCGGUGAUCUCCUGGCCUCGGGCUCCUUCGACAGCACAGUAAAGCUAUGGGACCUGAAUGCCGGAGGGGCAGAGAGGGGAAUGAUCCAGAGCCGCGCAGCUGUGCUCUCUCUCACCUGCCAGGGUCACAUGCUGUUUGCUGGGUCACAUGACCAGAAAGUCACCAUUUAUGACACCAGAGCUGCAGAGCCGCUGGUCAAAAGCCUUCGUCUCCAUAGUGACAUCGUGCUGUGUUUGGCCUCUGAUGAGCAGUACAUUCUGUCUGGCAGCAAAGACAACACAGUGGCUGUGUUUGACCGCAGAGCUGGAAAACCACUGAAGAAAAUACAUCUGAUGUCCUACUUGUUGUCCAUGUCGUACAGUGGGCGAGAGGUGUGGGCCGGAGAUUACCAUGGACUUCUUCACACCUUCUCCUUGAAUGAAGGCUCCUUUAAGUCAAUAGCCCAGUUUAAUGUAGGCCACAGUUCUUUGAUGACAGGUGUCCAUCACUCGCCUGGGACUCUUUACACCUGUUCCUCUGAUCGCAUGAUUAAGGUUCACCUUCCAUGUGCGCCCCCGAAGACUCUGUGCACGCUUCAUAAUAAAGCAGUAGUGAACGGGCUGAGUGUUGAGGCAGGAGUGCUGGCUGUAGCCACUGGGGAUAUGAAUGUGGAGGUGUGGAGGCCCAGACAGUGACACUCCGAGCACAGACGGUGUCAUUAGACAGUGUGCAGUGUUUAUGCCGUGAUCACAUAAUCAUCCAAAGGCACUCUGAAGUUUACCUUUACAUACCUAUGCUAUGCGGUGCAUCUGCCAUACAAGUCCGGGUGCAUUACUCGCGUAAGUUAUAGAACCAGUACCAAAUUAGAGUAAGUACGUUAAUAUAAACCUGUGAUUUGAACUGCACCCUGCACUAUUACCCGAGCUACUGUAAUAGGAAAUAAACCAAAUAAAUCAACACUUUUUGGCUAAACAGGUUUUAUAAUGCAACAAUGCUCUGGUUAUCAAACUUUAGUAGUGUGCAUACACUUUUGGAUGCAUCACUAAAGUGUCAGAUACUGGGUUAAAUACCUGAUUCUUAAUUAUAUAUACACCAUAUGGCCAAAACCUUCACACCUAUAUGUUAUUUCUGAACAUCUCAUUCCAGAUUUAGUCUCUCUUUGCUUGUUAUAAUAAGCUCCACUCCUCUGGGAAGGCUUUCCACUAGAUUUUGGAGCAUGGCUGUGGGGAUUUGUGCUCAUUCAGGCACAAGGUACGGAUGUCGAGUGGGGAGGCCUGACACACAGCCGGUGUUCCAGUUCAUCCUAAAGGUUGAGGUCAGGGAUCUGUGCAGGCCAUUUGAGCUGUUCCAGUCCAGCCUUGGCUAACCAGGUCAUAAUGGACUUCACUUUGUGCACAGGGGCAUUGUCAUGCUGGAACAUGUUUGGGCCUCUUAGUUCCAGCAAAAGGAAAUUGUAAUGCUACAGCAUACAAAGAUGUUCUAGAACAUUCUUUGCUACAAACUUUGUGUUGUUGUUUGUAAGUGUGUGUGUGAGUGCGUGCGUGUGUGUGAGAGUGCGCGCGUGUGUGUGAGAGUGUGUUCCUUGUGCGGUUUCAUCAGGAACGCACCGGAUAUGAUAUUUUCCUCCAUGCUUCCAGUCAUGGCUACAAAAUGCAAACUCCCCAAAAAACAUGGACUUGGUAGUAAAUAAAGUGCAGUUUUUGACAAAGCAUUAGCGCAUGUUGAAUUAGAAGUAUAUAAAUAAUUACAAUCAGAUCAAUGUACAGGCCAGUUAUUGGCAGAGACAGAGCAUAUACGCAGAGGAGCAUAUCACUGCAAAUCCAACGGAAUAUUCUGGAACAGUGCAUUUGGUUAAACUUGAUGUCAAUAAGCACGGUGUGUUGUGUUCAUUGCUAGCCUUAAAUGAACUGUAAAAUAUUUAAAGUAUCGAAAAUGGCCCAUGCUUUUGGCCUGUAAAAUAGAAGUGGACUGAUAUGAAUCCUAUAAUGCAUGGAUGUUUAUUUAAAAGGGGCAUUUAAACCUGACAAAUGUGGCACCUAUGAAGCGUUUCUAAAAAGCGCUCUUGGAGUAUGGAGGUGGAGUGAAAUUAUAUUCCUUCAUAGGAAUUCCAGCUUCAUAUCUAUAUCUCUGUCAGUUCCCUUAACGCAAAUUCCAAAAAAAAAAAAAAAAAGUCUCAAAGCUUUAUCUGCCACUUAAGUACAUUGUGCCCAAAUAUUUCAUUGUGGUGUAGUAGUUUACUUGGUUUAAAACUUGAAAAACACUGAUAUUCAUCCUGCAUUUAGACUGACUGAGCAUCUUUUCACAUUCUCUGUCCAGUAAUCGUUACCUAUUAAUGAUUAAAACUAUCAUUAAGAUGAAGUAGCUGGGUUUUUUUUUUUUAGCCUAAUCUCAAAUCAUCCGGUAUGCCUUAGUCCCUUACUCUCUUUUACAUUUUUUUUUUUACAUUUACAUUUUUUCACUCUUUUUAUUGUUCUUGUGCACAGUAUUAUUUUCCUCAGUUAAUGUUUGUCAUCUUAAACCUUACAAUGUGUGUUUUUAAAAAUAUAUAUAUAUUUAAUAAAGGAUCACUCUAAACAUGCUUGUUUCUUGAGUUGAAUUUUGCCAAAAGAUUCAUCAAUGAACAACACAUAAUUGUUUGUAAACGACAACAAA